AGAGUUUGAUCCUGGCUCAGGACGAACGCUUGCGACGUGCCUAAGAAAUGCAAGUCGAACGGGGUAGCAAUACCUAGUGGCGAACGGUCGCGUAACACGUGGGCAACCUGCCCCAGAGCGGGGGAUAACAGGCCGAAAGGUUUGCUAAUACCGCAUGUGGACCCUGUCGGCAUCGACGGGUGUCCAAAGAUUUAUCACUC
rnacentral:rRNA from 1 species